rnacentral:tRNA from 1 species
AAAGAAGAAAGCUGCCCCAGCAAUAUGGUUUCGACCCAUAAAGUGAAUUAUAUAAAUUCUCUUCUUUG